rnacentral:ribozyme from 1 species
CACGGAGAGAAAAGAAGAAGAAAAGAAAAGCGAAAAAGAAAAAGAAGAAGAAGAGUACUAGUUCAGCUAAGAGCCCGCCCUUAUUUUUUUGCUUGUUUGUGGUAUACUUGUAUCGAACCCCAGGGUAUAUUGGAUCCUAUAACAGGGAAAAUUUAUAAUUA